AUGCUCACUUUGACAGCACAUAUGCUAAAGUUAGAACGAUACAGAGAAUAUUAGAAUGGCCCCUGUGCAAGGAUGACAUGGAAAUUCAUAAAGCAUUUCAUAUUUUU